rnacentral:rRNA from 1 species
AACGAACGCUGGCGGCAUGCCUAACACAUGCAAGUCGAACGAAGGCUUCGGCCUUAGUGGCGCACGGGUGAGUAACACGUGGGAACCUGCCUUAUGGUUCGGAAUAACGUCUGGAAACGGACGCUAACACCGGAUGUGCCCCCCAAGCGAUUGGGUGGGGAAAGUUUACGCCAUGAGAGGGGCCCGCGUCGGAUUAGGUAGUUGGUGUGGUAACGGCGCACCAAGCCGACGAUCCGUAGCUGGUCUGAGAGGAUGAUCAGCCACACUGGGACUGAGACACGGCCCAGACUCCUACGGGAGGCAGCAGUGGGGAAUAUUGGACAAUGGGCGCAAGCCUGAUCCAGCAAUGCCGCGUGAGUGAUGAAGGCCUUAGGGUUGUAAAGCUCUUUCGCACGCGACGAUGAUGACGGUAGCGUGAGAAGAAGCCCCGGCUAACUUCG